rnacentral:rRNA from 1 species
UACGAAGGGGGCUAGCGUUGUUCGGAUUUACUGGGCGUAAAGCGCACGUAGGCGGAUCGUUAAGUCGGGGGUGAAAUCCUGGAGCUCAACUCCGAAACUGCAUUCGAUACUGCCGUGCUUGAGGACUGGAGAGGAGACUGGAAUUUACGGUGUAGCGGUGAAAUGCGUAGAUAUCGUAAGGAAGACCAGUGGCGAAGGCGGGUCUCUGGACAGUUCCUGACGCUGAGGCACGAAGGCCAGGGGAGCAAACGGG